rnacentral:rRNA from 1 species
GACGAACGCUGGCGGCGUGCUUAACACAUGCAAGUCGAACGAUGAAGCCGGAGCUUGCUCUGGUGAAUUAGUGGCGAACGGGUGAGUAACACGUGGGUAACCUGCCCAUAAGACUGGGAUAACUCCGGGAAACCGGGGCUAAUACCGGAUAACAUUUUGAACCGCAUGGUUCGAAAUUGAAAGGCGGCUUCGGCUGUCACUUAUGGAUGGACCCGCGUCGCAUUAGCUAGUUGGUGAGGUAACGGCUCACCAAGGCAACGAUGCGUAGCCGACCUGAGAGGGUGAUCGGCCACACUGGGACUGGGAACCGGCCCAGACUCCUACGGGAGGCAGCAGUAGGGAAUCUUCCGCAAUGGACGAAAGUCUGACGGAGCAACGCCGCGUGAGUGAUGAAGGCUUUCGGGUCGUAAAACUCUGUUGUUAGGGAAGAACAAGUGCUAGUUGAAUAAGCUGACACCUUGACGGUACCUAACCAGAAAGCCACGGCUAACUACGUGCCAGCCGCCGCCGUAA